rnacentral:misc_RNA from 1 species
CUUGGUCAUUUAGAGGAAGUAAAAGUCGUAACAAGGUUUCCGUAGGUGAACCUGCGGAAGGAUCAUUACAGAGUUCAUGCCCUCACGGGUAGAUCUCCCACCCUUGAAUACUUAUACCUUUGUUGCUUUGGCGGGCCGCUUCGGCUACCGGCUUCGGCUGGUGAGUGCCCGCCAGAGGACCCAAAACUCUGAAUUAUAGUGUCGUCUGAGUACUAUAUAAUAGUUAAAACUUUCAACAACGGAUCUCUUGGUUCUGGCAUCGAUGAAGAACGCAGCGAAAUGCGAUAAGUAAUGUGAAUUGCAGAAUUCAGUGAAUCAUCGAAUCUUUGAACGCACAUUGCGCCCCUUGGUAUUCCGAGGGGCAUGCCUGUUCGAGCGUCAUUAUAACCCCUCAAGCUCAGCUUGGUGUUGGGGCCUGCUGCACUGGCAGCCCUUAAAAUCAGUGGCGGCGCCAUCUGGCUCUAAGCGUAGUAAUUCUUCUCGCUAUGGAGUCCUGGUGGAUGCUUGCCAUCAACCCCCAAUUUUUCUAUGGUUGACCUCGGAUCAGGUAGGGAUACCCGCUGAACUUAAGCAUAUCAAUAAGCGGAGGA